ACAAUAUUAAAAAUAUAAAUCAUUUUUAUUAUUAAAAACUCCAUAUAGGAAAAGUACUUUUCAUACACUGUCAUUAGCUUUUAGUUAAAUGGACAAUGUUUGAACUUGUUUAAUACAGAGAUUUCCAAAUUAUAAUAAAUUAUAUUUAUGAUGAUUACAAUAAUAAUGCCAAUGCUGCUUCAGUUAUUUGUUUUAUUUUAAUUAAAGAAUGUUUCUUGAAUGUUGGAAUAAUCAUACAUGUCAUACAGAAAUUCAUUUUGAAUAAACAUUUUGCAUAAAGUUUCUGACAGCAAGAUGGCUAUAUGGCAAAGGAAUCACAUGCAACAUGAAGAAUCUUGGAUCAGUUCUGGAUACCACAUCUCCAGAAUUUUUAGUGAUCCUAUGAACUUAUUAUUUAAUUUUCUGAUUGACCUUAUCAUUGAUAUUGGCAAACUUGUAGUAGGCUCCAAAAUGGUUACCACUAUAUGGAUCUCUUAUAAAAUUCAACAGCAUAUCAGAAAAAUUUGAAAAAUCACCAACCUCUACCAAUAUUGAUAGCUUAUGAAAGUGGCAAAAAGGAAUCAGAUUCAAUAAUUUUUACAGCAAAUAUAACAUUGCCAGGAAAAUCAUUUUCUGCCUUCUCAUACUAUAUUAAAUUUUCAAGCAAAUCAAAUAUUCAAUUAAAUAACUGCCUG
rnacentral:lncRNA from 1 species